GUGGCAAUGAGCCUGCCCAUGCGAAAGUCCCCCAGUGUUCAGGGUAGACAGAGGUCUUGUGCAUGCCAUCCCCCUUGUAGCAGGGCACACCUGCGCGUUGGCCCUGUCAGGUCCUCCCAGGAUCCCUCACCUUUUGGCACUGAGGGCCAUGCCUCUUGCAGGCCAGCUUCAGGCGAACAUCGGGUGCAUUUAGAUCUUGGUGUUCAUGGCAGGUGUAUAAUUACACCCAGCACAAAACAAGACUCAGAUUGAAGGGUGCUGGCUGUUCGUGGGCAGCAGGAGCUUCCCCGGGGAGGUGUAUUCAUUUCCUGUGGCCACCACAACAAAUGACCACAAACCAGGUGGCUUAAAACAACAGAAUGCGCUUCCUCUUCGCUCUGGGGGCUGGAGGGCUGACGUUGAGGUGCGGCAGCGAGGGAGGAUUCCUGCAGGCCUCCCUCCAGCUCCUCUGGCUCCCGCUGGCCGCUGGCUGCUGGGGCUGCUGGGCCUUGGGCCAGAGGCACAGCACCCCAGGCUUUGCCUGUCUCUACCUGGCCUUCUCCUCUGGGUGUCUUCAGCCUCCUCUUACAAAGAACUCUUCGACACUUAGGGGCCACUCAUCUCAAGGUCCCUAACUUAAGGUCCCUACAUCAGCAAUGAUCCUUUCUCCAACUAAAGUCAGACUCGCAGUUUCUGGGUGAACAUGUCUUUCUGGGGUCAUCAUCUCCCCUACUACAGGGAGCAAUAAGAAGCGGCUCAAUCCAGAGGGAAGAUCUGAAAUGCCAUCUGACCAGAGCUUCGUGGUCCAGGGAGUUUCUCUGUAGCUCAUGCCGACUGGGUGUCUCCUGCUCUAGGCUGCACUGCACGGCACGGCCACCGUGCCCUGACGCCCCCCGCAGGGCUUCUCCACCUAGAGGGUCUCUGCCUAAGAAGCCAGACGCUGCCGACAGGCUGGCCUUCCUUUCAGCUGCUGGUGGCUGUCUGCUCGUGCUCACAGGAACCUCGUUCAGAGCACGGACAUCUGAUGGAAAGGUGGGGACUCGUUCCCAAGGGGGCUUGUCAAACACGUGGCCCACCUGCACCGUCUGUCACAGCACCUAACCCAGGAGAAGGAGGCGAGAGCAGCCCACCCCGAUGAUGCUUGGGACCCAGCUAACAGCCAGGUCUCAGUUCCGCGUUGAAAUCAGAACAGGAUGGACUUGAUUGUAUCAUGGAGAGAUUAAACUGAAUCCCUCUUAGGUUACACCAUGACACGGGCGUUACGGAGGACUGUCCACCACAGCCAACUCUGUGAGUGGGACUUGGCUUGCUCCAGUGUUAUUUUCACUUCCUAAUCAGCACACGGCUCUGUGUCUGGGCAGCCGGUGGAUCCCUGACCAAGGGAGCCUUCAUCAGGAGAGCUCGCCCUGCC
rnacentral:lncRNA from 1 species